UUCGGGGGUGAAGCUUGUGGAACGAGCGGCGGACGGGUGAGUAACACGUGGGCAACCUGCCUGUAAGACCGGAAUAACCCCGGGAAACCGGGGCUAAUGCCGGAUAACACCUACCUUCACCUGAAGGAAGGUUAAAAGAUGGCUUCUCGCUAUCACUUACAGAUGGGCCCGCGGCGCAUUAGCUAGUUGGUGAGGUAAUAGCUCACCAAGGCGACGAUGCGUAGCCGACCUGAGAGGGUGAUCGGCCACACUGGGACUGAGACACGGCCCAGACUCCUACGGGAGGCAGCAGUAGGGAAUCUUCCGCAAUGGACGAAAGUCUGACGGAGCAACGCCGCGUGAACGAUGAAGGUCUUCGGAUCGUAAAGUUCUGUUGUUAGGGAAGAACAAGUACCGUGCGAACAGAGCGGUACCUUGACGGUACCUAACGAGGAAGCCCCGGCUAACUACGUGCCAGCAGCCGCGGUAAUACGUAGGGGGCAAGCGUUGUCCGGAAUUAUUGGGCGUAAAGCGCGCGCAGGUGGUUUCUUAAGUCUGAUGUGAAAGCCCACGGCUCAACCGUGGAGGGUCAUUGGAAACUGGGGAACUUGAGGACAGAAGAGGAGAGUGGAAUUCCACGUGUAGCGGUGAAAUGCGUAGAUAUGUGGAGGAACACCAGUGGCGAAGGCG
rnacentral:rRNA from 1 species